CAGAAAGACCCUAUGAAGCUUUACUGUAACUUGAAAUUGAAAUUGGACUUUAGUCGCGCAGAAUAGGUGGGAGGCUUUGAUGAUAUUCUUGCGGGAAUGUCGGAGCCAUACGUGAGAUACCACUCUUCUAAUGUUAGAUUUCUAACUUUGAACCAUUAUCUGGUCAAAAGACAGUUUCAGGCGGGCAGUUUGACUGGGGCGGUCGCCUCCCAAAUGGUAACGGAGGCGUACAAAGGUUUCCUCUGAACGGGUAGAAAUCGUAUCUAGAGUAUAAAGGCAUAAGGAAGCUUGACUGUGAGACCUACAAGUCGAACAGGGACGAAAGUCGGUCUUAGUGAUCUGACGGUACUGAGUGGAAAGGCCGUCACUCAACGGAUAAAAGUUACUCUAGGGAUAACAGGCUGA
rnacentral:rRNA from 1 species